UACGGGGGGGGCAAGCGUUGUUCGGAAUUACUGGGCGUAAAGGGCUCGUAGGCGGCCAACUAAGUCAGACGUGAAAUCCCUCGGCUUAACCGGGGAACUGCAUCUGAUACUGGAUGGCUUGAGUUCGGGAGAGGGAUGCGGAAUUCCAGGUGUAGCGGUGAAAUGCGUAGAUAUCUGGAGGAACACCGGUGGCGAAGGCGGCAUCCUGGACCGACACUGACGCUGAGGAGCGAAAGCCAGGGGAGCAAAGCGGGAU
rnacentral:rRNA from 1 species